CAGCAGCCGCGGGAAAACGUAGGAGGCAAGCGUUGUCCGGAAUUAUCGGGCGUAAAGCGGGCGCAGGCGGUUAGAUAAGUCUGAAGUUAAAGGCUGUGGCUUAACCAUAGUACGCUUUGGAAACUGUUUAACUUGAGUGCAAGAGGGGAGAGUGGAAUUCCAUGUGUAGCGGUGAAAUGCGUAGAUAUAUGGAGGAACACCGGUGGCGAAAGCGGCUCUCUGGCUUGUAACUGACGCUGAGGCUCGAAAGCGUGGGGCGCAAACAGGAUUAGAUACCCCCGUAGUCCCUGUCUCUUAUACA
rnacentral:rRNA from 1 species